GGCCCCAUAGUCUAGCGGUUAGGACGUCGGCCUCUCACGCCGAAAACGCGGGUUCAAGUCCCGCUGGGGUCA
rnacentral:tRNA from 1 species